rnacentral:misc_RNA from 1 species
GUGAAUCAUCAAAUCUUUGAACGCAAAAUGCACUCUCCGGUUUUCCGGGAGAGUAUGACUGUUUGAGGGUCGGCCUAAAAAAAAUCGACAUUGUUGCUGUUUUAUGGUGACUUUCGUCGGAGAUGGGGUAUCUUAAAUUUCGGUUUAAGCGACUUAAAAAUUUUUUUUACGAUUCUAAGACUGUUUCUAAGAUUUUUAUUGUACGUUUAAGGUAUCGAAUGUCUUAUUAGACGUGGCCGGAGUAGCGGA